GCAGACACAUUCCAGCCAAUCAGCAGCAGACCCUCCCUCCCAGACCCUCCCACCUCCUGGACAGCUCACUAAGAAUGCAGCUUCACAAUGAAUGUAAAAUGGAUGCUGUCCAGGAGUUGGGAGGGUCUGGGAGGGAGGGUCUGCUGCUGAUUGGCUGGAAUGUGUCUG